ensembl:sense_intronic Gm16014 predicted gene 16014
CUAAACACGGGGUGGGGGCACCAACCUGUGAGCUGGGAUCCUGGGCUAGACAAAAAUUGGGGAGGGAGGAAAAAACAGUCAUGUAUUGGCAUUUUCCGUCCUCUCACUGUACUUCUUGGACAGGGUGACAGAUUAAGUCACUUCUGUCGCCAUGCUUUCUCCGUCAUGGUGGAUUGUGAGCCAAAAUAGACCCUUCAUUUCUUUCUUCCUCCCCUCCCCCCCUUAAAUUGGUUUAUAUGAACUGUGAUGGUUAAUAUUGACUAUCAACUUGAUAGGGUCUGGUUGGUAUGACUUAAGUUCCGUGACUCUCCCAUCUUGGUGAAGAUCAGCUUCCUCUAUAGAUGAUGGGGAUUUCAGCCAUGGAUGUGAGUUACAGAUGCUGGAGGUCCAGCUGAGAGUACAGAGAUAUAAACAAGUAUGUACAUGAAAGAUCUCUUCAUCCCAGCCACAGGAGAUGUUGACAGCCAGAGAGGAGGGGUUCUAAUUCACCUCACCACCCUUAGUUAACUCAUAUGCUGUUCAUCAUAUUCUGGUCUCUUUGUUG